AGAGCGAACGCUGGCGGCAGGCUUAACACACGCAAGUCGAGCGCCCGUAGCAAUACGGGAGCGGCAGACGGGAGAGUAACACGUGGGAACAUGCCCUUCGGUUCGGAAUAACUCAGGGAAACUUGAGCUAAUACCGGAUACGUCCGUAAGGAGAAAGAUUUAUCGCCGAAGGAUUGGCCCGCGUCCGAUUAGCUUGUGGUGAGGUAAUGGCUCACCAAGGCGACGAUCGGUAGCUGGUCUGAGAGGAUGAUCAGCCUCACUGGGACUGAGACACGGCCCAGACUCUUACGGGAGGCAGCAGUGGGGAAUAUUGGACAAUGGGCGAAAGCCUGAUCCAGCCAUGCCGCGUGGGUGAUGAAGGCCUUAGGUUGUAAAGCCCUUUCGGCGGGAAGAUAAUGACGGUACCGCAGAAGAACGCCCGCUAACUUCGUGCCAGCAGCCGC
rnacentral:rRNA from 1 species